rnacentral:rRNA from 1 species
UACGUAGGCAGCAAGCGUUGUUCGGAAUUACUGGGCGUAAAGAGUGUGUAGGCGGUGCUCCAAGUCUGGUGUGAAAUCUCCCGGCUUAACUGGGAGGGUGCAUUAGAAACUGGAAUGCUAGAGGAUGGGAGAGGUAAGCGGAAUUCCUGGUGUAGCGGUGAAAUGCGUAGAUAUCAGGAGGAACACCUGUGGUAUAGACAGCUUACUGGACCAUUUCUGACGCUGAGACACGAAAGCGUGGGUAGCAAACAGG